CCCGCUAUAGUUUAUUUAAAACACUGAAUUGCAAAUUCAAGAAAGAAAUUGAAAUUUCUAGCGAGU
rnacentral:tRNA from 1 species